AGUCAAGUAAUUAAGUGCAUGUGGUGGAUGCCUUGGCAGUCAGAGGCGAUGAAAGACGUAAUAGCCUGCGAUAAGCUCCGGGGAGGCGGCAAAUAUCCUGUGAUCCGGAGAUUUCUGAAUGGGGAAACCCACCUGUCAUAAGGCAGGUAUCGUAUGAUGAAUACAUAGUCAUACGAGGCGAACGAGGGGAAGUGAAACAUCUCAGUACCCUUAGGAAAAGAAAUCAAUUGAGAUUCCCUCAGUAGCGGCGAGCGAACGGGGAAAAGCCCAUUAAGUCAUAUAAGUUCUAGUGGAAUGCUCUGGGAAGUGCAACCAUAGUGGGUGAUAGUCCUGUACACGAAAGGGCUUAUAUGAUGAUGUCGAGUAGGGCGGGGCACGUGAAACCUUGUCUGAAUAUGGGGGGACCAUCCUCCAAGGC
rnacentral:ncRNA from 1 species